GCCCGGGUGGCUCAGUUGGUUAAGCAUCUGACUUCAGCUUAGGUCAUGAUCUAACGGUUUGUGGGUUCAAGCCCCACGUUGGGCU
rnacentral:tRNA from 1 species